rnacentral:rRNA from 1 species
AGAGUUUGAUUAUGGCUCAGGAUGAACGCUAGCGGCAGGCUUAACACAUGCAAGUCGAGGGGCAGCGGGAUGUAGCAAUACAUUGCCGGCGACCGGCGGAUGGGUGCGUAACGCGUAUGCAACCUACCUUAUACAGGGGAAUAACCUUUCGAAAGGGAGACUAACACCCCAUAGUAUUGAUUUAAGGCAUCUUAGAUUAAUUAAAUAUUUACAGGUAUAAGAUGGGCAUGCGUAUGAUUAGCUAGUUGGUAAGGUAACGGCUUACCAAGGCGACGAUCAUUAGGGGUUCUGAGAGGAAGGUCCCCCCACACUGGUACUGAGACACGAACCAGACUCCUACGGGAGGCAGCAGUGAGGAAUAUGGUCAAUGGGCGCAAGCCUGAACCAGCCAUGCCGCGUGCAGGAAAAGACGGCCUUAUGGGUUGUAAACUGCUUUUACAUAAGACUAACCGUAUAUUUGCGAAUAUACCUGAAUGUAUUAUGAGAAUAAGGAUCGGCUAACUCCGUGCCAGCCGCAGC